rnacentral:rRNA from 1 species
UACACUCCUACGGGAGGCAGCAGUGGGGAAUUUUGGACAAUGGGCGAAAGCCUGAUCCAGCAAUGCCGCGUGAGUGAAGAAGGCCUUCGGGUUGUAAAGCUCUUUUGUCAGGGAAGAAACGGUGAAAGCUAAUAUCUUUUGCUAAUGACGGUACCUGAAGAAUAAGCACCGGCUAACUACGUGCCAGCAGCCGCGGUAAUACGUAGGGUGCAAGCGUUAAUCGGAAUUACUGGGCGUAAAGCGUGCGCAGGCGGUUUUGUAAGUCUGAUGUGAAAUCCCCGGGCUCAACCUGGGAAUUGCAUUGGAGACUGCAAGGCUAGAAUCUGGCAGAGGGGGGUAGAAUUCCACGUGUAGCAGUGAAAUGCGUAGAUAUGUGGAGGAACACCGAUGGCGAAGGCAGCCCCCUGGGUCAAGAUUGACGCUCAUGCACGAAAGCGUGGGGAGCAAACAGGAUUAGAUACCCUUGUAGUCCCAUG